AACGAACGCUGGCGGCAUGCCUAACACAUGCAAGUCGAACGAGACCUUCGGGUCUAGUGGCGCACGGGUGCGUAACGCGUGGGAACCUGCCCUUAGGUUCGGAAUAACUCCCCGAAAGGGGUGCUAAUACCGGAUAAUGUCUUCGGACCAAAGAUUUAUCGCCUUUGGGUGGGCCCGCGUUGGAUUAGCUAGUUGGUAGGGUAAAAGCCUACCAAGGCGACGAUCCAUAGCUGGUCUGAGAGGAUGAUCAGCCACACUGGGACUGAGACACGGCCCAGACUCCUACGGGAGGCAGCAGUGGGGAAUAUUGGACAAUGGGCGAAAGCCUGAUCCAGCUAUGCCGCGUGAGUGAUGAAGGCCUUAGGGUUGUAAAGCUCUUUUACCCGGGAUGAUAAUGACAGUACCGGGAGAAUAAGCGCCGGCUAACUCCGUG
rnacentral:rRNA from 1 species